rnacentral:rRNA from 1 species
UGCAAGUCGAACGUGAAAACCUUCGGGUGAGUAAAGUGGCGUACGGGUGAGUAACGCGUGGGUAAUCUACCCCAAAGCCUGGAAUAACUUGCCGAAAGGCGAGCUAAUACCGGAUAGAGCGAAGAGGUCAUAAAGGCCUUUUCGGGAAAGGGAGCUUCGGCCCCCUCUUUGGGAUGAGCUUGCGUCUCAUUAGCUUGUAGGUGGGGUAAAGGCCUACCUAGGCAACGAUGGGUAGCUGGUCUGAGAGGAUGAUCAGCCACACUGGUACUGAAACACGGACCAGACUCCUACGGGAGGCAGCAGUGGGGAAUAUUGCGCAAUGGACGAAAGUCUGACGCAGCAACGCCGCGUGAGUGAAGACGGCCUUAGGGUUGUAAAGCUCUGUCGCAAGGGACGAACAUCCUAGUGGUUCAUAGCCAUUAGGUCUGACGGUACCUUGAAAGGAAGCACCGGCUAACUCCGUGCCAGCAGCCGCGGUAAUACGGAGGGUGCAAGCGUUGUUCGGAAUUAUUGGGCGUAAAGGGGAGGCAGGCGGUCCCAUUUGUCUGAGGUGAAAUCCCAGGGCUCAACCCUGGAAGUGCCCCAGAAACGGUGGGACUGGAAUAAUGGAGAGGGUAGUGGAAUUCCCGGUGUAGCGGUGAAAUGCGUAGAGAUCGGGAGGAACACCAGAUGCGAAGGCGACUACCUGGACAUUUAUUGACGCUGAACUCCGAAAGCGUGGGGAGCAAACAGGAUUAGAUACCCUGGUAGUCCACGCCGUAAACGAUGUGCAUUA